AUAAAGCAAAGGACAUCCUGGUACCUGAGCUUCUAACAGUCACAGGUAAACAGCAUGGAUAUUGCUGGGAAGGUUGGCAUUUAUCAUCUGUCCUUGCUUGCCUUUAGACAAAUUCUACAACGACUAUAAAAUAAUUUGUUUUCUGGAACUUUCUUAUUUGGUCUAAAUAACCAACAUCCACUUCCAGAAUCCCUCUCUACUAUGUUACAUCCAUUAAGAGUAAAACC